UACAGAGGUGGCAAGCGUUGUUCGGAAUUACUGGGCGUAAAGGGCGCGUAGGCGGUCCCGUCAGUCCCUUGUGAAAUCCCCCGGCUCAACUGGGGAACUGCAAGGGAUACAGCGGGGCUUGAGUUCGGGAGAGGGAAGCGGAAUUCCGGGUGUAGCGGUGGAAAUGCGUAGAUAUCCGGAGGAACACCGGUGGCGAAGGCGGCUUCCUGGACCGAUACUGACGCUGAGGCGCGAAAGCUAGGGAGCAAACGGG
rnacentral:rRNA from 1 species